UUCCACCAAUGCAAUUCCCCCUAAAAAUUAUAAAAAAUUAUUUUUUAUGUUAAAUAUAAAAAUAUUUAAACACCAGCUUAAGUUUUUAGAGUACAACGGUUGUUUCACAUGGUAUCAGAGCAGGAGGUCCUGAGUUCGAGUUACGCCAGGUUGCUAGCAUAUUAAUUUCCUUCCAUUUAAUUCAAGCUCACGUUAUGGGCCGAUUAAAAAGUCUUGAGCCCAGACGUGAGGAGGAGUGUUAAAUAUAAAAAUGUUUAAACACCGUUCUACAAUGGUUGUUUCACAUUUUAACAAACAGAUUUUGCAGGAAUUUUGUUUUAUAGCUCUUAUUUUCUUGAAUAAAAAAUUACACAUUUUGGGGAAAAAAAUUCAGAAUAAUUAUUUUUUCUACUAGUCAAAUAAAUAAAAAAUAUUUUUUCGGUCAGAAAAAUAGUUUUUAAGAUAAUUUUUUAAAAAUCAGACACAUUAUUUAUUUAUUUUUAAAAAAUAGCAUGCUAUUCGUUUCAUUUAUUUCUUUUAGAAAUAAAUUUAACUGAAAAUAUGAAUCAAUUGAGAUUUAUUUUUGAAAUAUCAAAUACUAAAUGUCAAAUUUUUUGUCAUUUACGCUAGAAAUUGUGGGUAAAUAAAAC
rnacentral:lncRNA from 1 species